AAGUAUACUCUUUGGUAUGAAUACUAAACGUUAUCGUGACGUCGUUGAGUUUUGACAACGUUGUCUGGGCGAAAUAUUUCGCAAUCGACACAUCGUGAGCAGCAACCAACAGGAUCGGACGUGUAAGGCAGAGAAAGAGCUUGAAUUAGCAACAACGGUGGAAAUCCAAAUUGAGGAGACAAAACCAAGAUGUAAACGUAAGAAAACAAGACGUGGCCGAAAACGGAAACUUAAUGUUUUAUCCACUUCAGACGAUACUGUAGGUUUAGCAACAACUCCAGUAAAAAGCAGAAAGCGAGAGCAUCUUCCAUGGAAACCAAAUCUUCGCCCACAGACCAUUGCAGCCCCCCGUUCAGAUGAUUUUGAUCCAGUAGAGGAAUGGUAUCGUGUACCAAAUUCUCCUUCUAGUCCUCUUCCACCACCUGUGACAGAUUGUGAACCAAUUUCUCCAUCUGAAUAUUAUCUUCAAAUGUAUGGUCCAGAUGAAAUUUCGUCAUCAGAUACAUCACCGGAAAAGUGUCAAAUUGAAGUCUUCACACAACCACUUUUUCAGCGAUUAGGCCAAAGCCAAUCGUUUCCUAUCAAUAGGCGGUUGAGUUCUGAUGGCGAAUCUUGUGGACAUUCAUCAUCCACUUCAAAAAGUGAUUGUGAUUUGUCAGUGCUGGGAGCAACUUCAAGAAGUGUGAACAUUGUUGAGAAGACAUCAGCAUUAAACUUUGACUUUGAAAAUGAACAAGCUUUAUUAGAUGUUCUUCACUCAAUGACAAAAUCGCAACUGAUACAGAAAUAUUUUGAUUUGAAAAAUAGACUGCAUUCCUUGGAAAAGCAAAGUAAAGACUUGUGUGUGGCAUAAACCUGGAAAGUUCCAUUUGUCCUGUUAAGUGAUGAUUAUCACCUAGUGACAAAAACUUAUUCAUUCUUCAUAUGAAAGAAUAGAAAUUAUAAAAUGAUGGAUUUCUAUCCAAGGAUGGUGUGGCACUUGCGGAUGUCAGGGGUCGGAUGACCAAGUGCGAUUGACUGGCACCUUGCUGAGCAAACAGUCUGCUGUUACAGUCAGCCUUACACCAACAACCUACGGUGUAAGCGGGAUCAUGGGAUCAUCGAGGCGAAACGACCGUGGAGAACUGGGCGGAACGGAAUGGCAUUCCACUGAACCAAACUUUUGGACAAAAGGGUGUAUUCCAAUAUACUUCAGAAAUUGUCAAUCGACAUGGGUACAGUGAUUUAGAGUAUUUUGCUUCUUUAUAAAAAUAUAAAGAUUCAGGGGGUAUUGUUAAAGAGAAGUGAUUUUUUUUUCUUUGAACUUAAUUAUUUUUUUUAUUACAGUAUAGGCAGUUUUCACAAGCUUGUUGAACUAAAGUAGUAACUGUCCUGAGUUAUAAUUUUAUGUAAAAGUUAUAGUGUAGAUUGUUCAGGUAAAUACCUUAUGAAGAAAAAAUAUAUUGUUCAAUGUUUUAAAGUGUUAGCAUUUAAUCAAGGUGCCAAUAAAAUACAUUAUUGUUUAUACAAUUUAA
rnacentral:misc_RNA from 1 species